GACGAACGCUGGCGGCGUGCUUAACACAUGCAAGUCGAACGGAAAGGCCCUGCUUGCAGGGUACUCGAGUGGCGAACGGGUGAGUAACACGUGGGUGAUCUGCCCUGCACUUCGGGAUAAGCCUGGGAAACUGGGUCUAAUACCGGAUAGGAGCCAUUUUUAGUGUGAUGGUUGGAAAGUUUUUUCGGUGUAGGAUGAGCUCGCGGCCCAUCAGCUUGUUGGUGGGGUAAUGGCCUACCAAGGCGGCGACGGGUAGCCGGCCUGAGAGGGUGGACGGCCACAUUGGGACUGAGAUACGGCCCAGACUCCUACGGGAGGCAGCAGUGGGGAAUAUUGCACAAUGGGCGCAAGCCUGAUGCAGCGACGCCGCGUGGGGGAGGACGGCCUUCGGGUUGUAAACUCCUUCCGCUAGGGACGAAGCUUUUUGUGACGGUACCUAGAUAAGAAGCACCGGCUAACUACGUG
rnacentral:rRNA from 1 species